rnacentral:rRNA from 1 species
CGCCCUUAGAGUUUGAUCCUGCUCAGAACGAACGCUGGCCGCAGGCCUUAUACAUGCAAGUCGAGCGCAUCCUUCGGGAUGAGCGGCGGACGGGUGAGUAACGCGUGGGAAUGUGCCCUUCUCUACGGAAUAGCCACUGGAAACGGUGAGUAAUACCGUAUACGCCCUCAGGGGGAAAGAUUUAUCGGAGAAGGAUCAGCCCGCGUUAGAUUAGGUAGUUGGUGGGGUAACGGCCUACCAAGCCUACGAUCUAUAGCUGGUUUUAGAGGAUGAUCAGCCACACUGGGACUGAGACACGGCCCAGACUCCUACGGGAGGCAGCAGUAGGGAAUCUUGGACAAUGGGGGCAACCCUGAUCCAGCCAUGCCGCGUGAGUGAAGAAGGCCCUAGGGUCGUAAAGCUCUUUCGCCUGUGAUGAUAAUGACCGUAGCAGGUACAGAAACCCCGGCUAACUCCGUGCCAGCAGCCGCGGUACUACGGAGGGGGUCAGCGUCGUUCGGAAUUACUGGGCGUAAAGCGCGCGUAGGCGGA